UCCUGGCUGGCUCAGUCAGUAGAGCAUGUGAUUUUUGAUCUCAGGGUUGUAAGUUCAAACCCCACGUCAGGUG
rnacentral:tRNA from 1 species